rnacentral:tRNA from 1 species
GCAUCCGUAGCUCAGCUGGAUAGAGUACUAGGCUACGAACCGAGCGGUCGGAGGUUCGAAUCCUCCCGGAUGCACCA